rnacentral:rRNA from 1 species
CAGCAGUGAGGAAGGCGGAGUCGUUAAUAGCGGCCUCGUUUGACGUUAGCUGCAGAAGAAGCACCGGCUAACUCCGUGCCAGCAGCCGCGGUAAUACGGAGGGUGCGAGCGUUAAUCGGAAUUACUGGGCGUAAAGCGCAUGCAGGUGGUUUGUUAAGUUCAGAUGUGAAAGACCCGGGGCGUCAACCUCGGAAUAGCAUUUGUAAACUAGGCAGACUAGAGUACUGUAGAGGGGGUAGGAAUUUCAGGUGUAGCGGUGAAAUAGCGUAGAGAUCUGAAGGAAUACCGGUGGCGAAGGCGGCCCCCUCGGACAGAUACUGACACUCAGAUGCGAAAGCGUGGGGAGCAAACAGGAUUAGAUACCCUGGUAG